rnacentral:rRNA from 1 species
UACGAGGGGGGCGAGCGUUGUUCGGAAUUAUUGGGCGUAAAGGGUGCGUAGGCGGUUCCGCAAGUCCUGUGUGAAAUCCUCGGGCUCAACUCGAAGUCUGCACGGGAAACUGCGGGGCUUGAGUGUGGGAGAGGUGAGUGGAAUUCCUGGUGUAGCGGUGAAAUGCGUAGAUAUCAGGAGGAACACCUGUGGUGUAGACAGCUUACUGGACCACUUCUGACGCUGAGACACGAAAGCGUGGGUAGCAAACAGG